AGACCCGAAACCCGGUGAUCUAGCCAUGGGCAGGUUGAAGGUUGGGUAACACUAACUGGAGGACCGAACCGACUAAUGUUGAAAAAUUAGCGGAUGACCUGUGGCUGGGGGUGAAAGGCCAAUCAAACCGGGAGAUAGCUGGUUCUCCCCGAAAGCUAUUUAGGUAGCGCCUCGUGAAUUCAUCUCCGGGGGUAGAGCACUGUUUCGGCUAGGGGGCCAUCCCGGCUUACCAACCCGAUGCAAACUGCGAAUACCGGAGAAUGUUAUCACGGGAGACACACGGCGGGUGCUAACGUCCGUCGUGAAGAGGGAAACAACCCAGACCGCCAGCUAAGGUCCCAAAGUCAUGGUUAAGUGGGAAACGAUGUGGGAAGGCCCAGACAGCCAGGAUGUUGGCUUAGAAGCAGCCAUCAUUUAAAGAAAGCGUAAUAGCUCACUGGUCGAGUCGGCCUGCGCGGAAGAUGUAACGGGGCUAAACCAUGCACCGAAGCUGCGGCAGCGACACUGUGUGUUGUUGGGUAGGGGAGCGUUCUGUAAGCCUGUGAAGGUGGCCUGUGAGGGUUGCUGGAGGUAUCAGAAGUGCGAAUGCUGACAUAAGUAACGAUAAAGCGGGUGAAAAGCCCGCUCGCCGGAAGACCAAGGGUUCCUGUCCAACGUUAAUCGGGGCAGGGUGAGUCGACCCCUAAGGCGAGGCCGAAAGGCGUAGUCGAUGGGAAACGGGUUAAUAUUCCCGUACUUGGUGUUACUGCGAAGGGGGGACGGAGAAGGCUAUGUUGGCCGGGCGACGGUUGUCCCGGUUUAAGCGUGUAGGUGUGUGUUCCAGGUAAAUCCGGUUCACUUUAACACUGAGGCGUGACGACGAGGCACUACGGUGCUGAAGCAACAAAUGCCCUGCUUCCAGGAAAAGCCUCUAAGCAUCAGGUAACAUCAAAUCGUACCCCAAACCGACACAGGUGGUCAGGUAGAGAAUACCAAGGCGCUUGAGAGAACUCGGGUGAAGGAACUAGGCAAAAUGGUGCCGUAACUUCGGGAGAAGGCACGCUGACACGUAGGUGAAGUGAUUUACUCACGGAGCUGAAGUCAGUCGAAGAUACCAGCUGGCUGCAACUGUUUAUUAAAAACACAGCACUGUGCAAACACGAAAGUGGACGUAUACGGUGUGACGCCUGCCCGGUGCCGGAAGGUUAAUUGAUGGGGUCAGCGCAAGCGAAGCUCCUGAUCGAAGCCCCGGUAAACGGCGGCCGUAACUAUAACGGUCCUAAGGUAGCGAAAUUCCUUGUCGGGUAAGUUCCGACCUGCACGAAUGGCGUAAUGAUGGCCAGGCUGUCUCCACCCGAGACUCAGUGAAAUUGAACUCGCUGUGAAGAUGCAGUGUACCCGCGGCAAGACGGAAAGACCCCGUGAACCUUUACUAUAGCUUGACACUGAACAUUGAGCCUUGAUGUGUAGGAUAGGUGGGAGGCUUUGAAGCGUGGACG
rnacentral:rRNA from 1 species